rfam:Thiorhodovibrio sp. 970 genomic scaffold Thi970scaffold_7, whole genome shotgun sequence.
UCCGGUGUUCUGCCACCGGUACCCUACCAGACCGUGCGUUGGGGGUAACCCUGGGGUGCGAAGCGUCUGGGACACCGUAGCCUCCGUCUUUCGGGACGGGCGACGGACCCGCGAGGGAAAGUCGCGACUGCCAGCCUCAUGGCGGUCGGGAGC